rnacentral:rRNA from 1 species
AACGCGAAGAACCUUACCGAGGCUUGACAUCCCUUGACCGCCGCAGAAAUGCGGUUUUCGUGGCAACACGACAAGGAGACAGGUGCUGCAUGGCUGUCGUCAGCUCGUGCCGUGAGGUGUUGGGUUAAGUCCCGCAACGAGCGCAACCCUCGUCGUGUGUUGGUCCGCAAGGAUCUCUCACGCGAGACCGCCGGUGAGAAGCCGGAGGAAGGUGGGGAUGACGUCAAGUCAGCAUGGCCCUUACGUCUCGGGCUACACACGUGCUACAAUGGGUGAGACAACGAGUUCCAAGCUCGCGAGGGUAAGGCAAUCUCUUAAACUCAUCCUCAGUUCGGAUUGAAGGCUGCAACUCGCCUUCAUGAAGUCGGAAUCGCUAGUAAACGCAGAUCAGCUACGCUGCGUUGAAUACGUUCCCGGGCCUUGUA